rnacentral:rRNA from 1 species
AGAUUGAACGCUGGCGGCAUGCCUUACACAUGCAAGUCGAGCGGCAGCGCGGGGGCAACCCUGGCGGCGAGCGGCGAACGGGUGAGUAAUACAUCGGAACGUGUCCUUUCGUGGGGGAUAACCAGUCGAAAGACUGGCUAAUACCGCAUGAGAUCUCACGAUGAAAGCGAGGGACCGCAAGGCCUCGCGCGAAUGGAGCGGCCGAUGUCGGAUUAGCUAGUUGGCGGGGUAAAAGCCCACCAAGGCGACGAUCCGUAGCUGGUUUGAGAGAACGACCAGCCACACUGGGACUGAGACACGGCCCAGACUCCUACGGGAGCAGCAGUGGGGAAUUUGGACAUGGGCGCAAGCCUGAUCCAGCCAU